rnacentral:rRNA from 1 species
GAAAGAUUCAUCGGAAGAGGAUGGGCAUGCGGCGCAUUAGCUGGACGGCGGGGUAACGGCCCACCGUGGCGACGAUGCGUAGGGGUUCUGAGAGGAAGGUCCCCCACACUGGUACUGAGACACGGACCAGACUCCUACGGGAGGCAGCAGUGAGGAAUAUUGGUCAAUGGGAGAGAUCCUGAACCAGCCAAGCCGCGUGAGGGAAGACGGCCCUAUGGGUUGUAAACCUCUUUUGUCGGAGAACAAAACCCGGGACGAGUCCCGGACUGCGUGUAUCCGAAGAAAAAGCAUCGGCUAACUCCGUGCCAGCAGCCGCGGUAAUACGGAGGAUGCGAGCGUUAUCCGGAUUUAUUGGGUUUAAAGGGUGCGUAGGCGGUCUGUUAAGUCAGCGGUAAAAUUGCGGGGCUCAACCCCGUCGAGCCGUUGAAACUGGCAGACUUGAGUUGGCGAGAAGUACGCGGAAUGCGCGGUGUAGCGGUGAAAUGCAUAGAUAUCGCGCAGAACUCCGAUUGCGAAGGCAGCGUACCGGCGCCAGACUGACGCUGAGGCACGAAAGCGUGGGGAUCGAACAGGAUUAGAUACCCUGGUAGUCCACGCAGUAAACGAUGAGUGCUGGUUGUCCGGGUCGAAUGAGAUCUGG